GAUGAAGAACGUAGCGAACGUGCGAAACGUAAUGUGAAUUGCAGAAUUCAGUGAAUCAUCGAAUCUUUGAACGCAUCUUGCGCUCCUUGGUAUUCCGAGGAGCAUGCCUGUUUGAGUGUCGUGAAUACUCUCAACUUCAACCCUUUUUUCGGAAAGGGAGGAAGGUUGGACUUGGGUGUUUGUUGAAGUGCGAGCUUCGACUCAUCCUAAAUGCAUUAGCGAUCUGCCUCGAUCACACACAAUGUGAUAAUUAAAACUAAAGCAUUGUUUAAUGAUCAAGUCGAGACUGCUUCUAACUGUCGCAAGACAAUAACGUGCAUACAUUUGUGCAAGUCAUUUGACCUCAAAUCAGGUAGGACUACCCGCUGAACUUAAGCAUAUCAAUAAGCGGAGGA
rnacentral:misc_RNA from 1 species